rnacentral:rRNA from 1 species
UACGUAGGUGGCAAGCGUUUGUCCGGAUUUACUGGGCGUAAAGAGCGCGCAGGCGGUCGUUCAAGUCGCGUGUGAAAGCCCCCGGCUCAACUGGGGAGGGUCACGCGAUACUGAUCGACUCGAAGGCAGGAGAGGGUAGUGGAAUUCCCGGUGUAGUGGUGAAAUGCGUAGAUAUUGGGAGGAACACCGAUGGCGAAGGCAGCUCGCUGGGACGGUACUGACGCUGAGACGCGAAAGCGUGGGGAGCA